CGAAGAGUUAAUGUUUCUCUUACAAGGGCUAGGUUCUUUUCAGUGAAUACUUUAGAAGAUCAUUUGGAAAGCUGAGAGCAAAAAGGACAAAGACUUCUGUUUUGAACCUUCUGCUAAGACUUUCUAGUGGAUGGCGUCCUAAGAAAAGAAAUGUGGAUUUAACUUGUGAAAGCUCUUCUCAAAUCUUGAAACAGUUCAAGGUUGAAGAACUGUAUGUGAUCUGUUCAGUUGAUAUAGUGAAGGAAGUAAAAUACAUUCAAGUUCUGAAGGUCUGGGAUAUAUUACCUUUGGAAGAUAUUCCGAGUUUGGUUAAACGUCUCAGUGGGAUCUUUGAAAGACACACAGAUGAUUUCAUCAGUUGUUGCAAUGCGAAAUGUUUGGAAGGAGACUUGGAAGUUCCCAAAGUUUGGUCAACCUCAUUUGAUAUUGUCCGUUAUAAGAGUCCUAUCAACAAUGAAGCAGGGAAUGAUUCAAAUUUUGGUGCUUCUGAUUCUAGAUGCUAUGUGGAAAACUCCAAAGUGAGUGAUAGUUUGUUGCUAA